rnacentral:rRNA from 1 species
CCUACGGGUGGCAGCAGUGAGGAAUAUUGGUCAAUGGACGAGCGUCUGAACCAGCCAAGUAGCGUGAAGGAUGACUGCCCUAUGGGUUGUAAACUUCUUUUAUAUGGGAAUAAAAUGUUCCACGUGUGGGAUUUUGUAUGUACCAUAUGAAUAAGGAUCGGCUACCUCCGUGCCAGCAGCCGCGGUAAUACGGAGGAUCCGAGCGUUAUCCGGAUUUAUUGGGUUUAAAGGGAGCGUAAGUGGAUUGUUAAGUAAGUUGUGAAAUUUUGCGGCUCAACCGUAGAAUUGCAGUUGAACCUUGCAGUCUUGAGUACAGUAGAGGUGGGCGGAAUUCGUGGUGUAGCGGUGAAAUGCUUAGAUAUCACGAAGAACUCCGAUUGCGAAGGCAGCGCACUGGACUGCAACUGACACUGAGGCUCGAAAGUGUGGGUAUCAAACAGGAUUAGAUACCCCUGUAGUC